rnacentral:lncRNA from 1 species
AAAUUUCUUAGGAACCAAAUUACAGCAAUUUCAGAGCAAGCAAAAUCCCACCAACAAACCCAAGAAUCAAACUGCCAUGCCCCUGGGGAGAAUGAAGCAGGGCCCAGGUGGGAACCCAGACUAGGCUGUCAUGAGCUAGUAUUGCAUGCCAAAGCAAAAAAGAAGUGGAUUUCCUGAGCUCUCAGUUCAGAUCCCAGCUGAAAGGGGAAGAAAUCAGCUGUGUGACCAGAGGUAAUUUUGUAUAUCCUCCCUGGGCCACCCUUUCCUCUUCUAAAAGGCCAGAGUAACACCUACCUCAUGGGACUGCUACAAAGAUGAAAUGAGAAAACGAGGCCAAGUAUCACCAAUAGCUCACAUACUUUAUACAUGUGGAUGAACUAUUUAUUAAAAACACAAUUUAAGAGAAAAGCCCUCCACAGGCUUUGUAGGUAGGAAGCAAAAACUUGACCUGCUUAGUAAUACUAGAAUCUGGUGGUUCUGUGUUUCCCUGCAGGGUGGCACAGGAUGCAUGAGCCUCUUCUGUCCAUCUUCAAGGCCACAGACCAGCCCCUGNCGAAGCAGGGCCCACGUGGGAGCCUAGACUAGGCUGUCAUGAGCUCGUAUUGCAUGCCAAAGCAAAAAAGAAGUGGAUUUCCUGAGCUCUCAAUUCAGAUCCCAGCUGAAAGGGGAAGAAAUCAACUGUGUGACCAGAGGUAAUUUUGUAUAUCCUCCCUGGGCCACCCUUUCCUCUGCUAAAAGGCCAGAGUAACACCUACCUCAUGGGACUGCUACAAAGAUGAAAUGAGAAAACGAGGCCAAGUAUCACCAAUAGCUCACAUACUUUAUACAUGUGGAUGAACUAUUUAUUAAAAACACAAUUUAAGAGAAAAUCCCUCCACAGGCUUUGUAGGUAGGAAGCAAAAACUUGACCAGCUUAGUAAUACUAGAAUCUGGUGGUUCUGUGUUUCCCUGGGGGGUGACACAGGAUGCAUGAGCCUCUUCUGUCCAUCUUCAAGGCCACAGACCAGCCCCUGCCUCCCAGAAAAAUCUACUUCUCCUGGAACGGUGUCCUGCAGUAAUAAGAACUCAAGAGAUAUUUACAGAAUGUUGAAGGAAGAUAUUUUGCAUUCUUGUGCCAUAAAGCCCAAGGCAGCUUUAGACUUAACUUUUAAAGAGGAGAUGGCAGCCAUUAAACAAAACAAAACAAAACAGCACCUGAAGAAAAGAGUAUGCUUAAAAAUUAUGGUUUGUGUUUUACAUUUUUGCAAAGGAGACAUAAUUAAAGUGUUUCACUCUCCUCCUGGACCUCUGACAGCAAAAUUAGCAGGAAGGAGAACAGCACACAAUAGAAAGUAA